ensembl:lncRNA
GGAGGUUAUAUACAGGAGGUACCGGUCCAGAGUCCAUGUGGAGGCUAUAUACAGGAGGUACCGGUCCAGAGUCCAUGUGGAGGCUAUAUACAGGAGGUACCGGUCCAGAGUCCAUGUGGAGGUUAUAUACAGGAGGUACCGGUCCAGAGUCCAUGUGGAGGUUAUAUACAGGAGGUACCGGUCCAGAGUCCAUGUGGAGGCUAUAUACAGGGGGUACCGGUCCAGAGUCAAUGUGGAGGUUAUAUACAGGAGGCUCUUAACCAACAAUGCAGUUUUAAGAAAAAUAAGUGUUAAGAAAGCAUUUACUAAAAUAACCUGAGUCCAGAGUCCAUGUGGAGGUUAUAUACAGGAGGUACCGGUCCAGAGUCCAUGUGGAGGCUAUAUACAGGAGGUACCGGUCCAGAGUCCAUGUGGAGGCUAUAUACAGGAGGUACCGGUCCAGAGUCCAUGUGGAGGCUAUACACAGGAGGUACCGGUCCAGAGUCCAUGUGGAGGCUAUAUACAGGAGGUACCGGUCCAGAGUCCAUGUGGAGGUUAUAUACAGGAGGUACCGGUCCAGAGUCCAUGUGGAGGCUAUAUACAGGGGGUACCGGUACAGAGUCCAUGUGGAGGCUAUAUACAGGGGGUACCGGUACAGAGUCAAUGUGGAGGCUAUAUACAGGGGGUACCGGUACAGAGUCCAUGUGGAGGCUAUAUACAGGGG